ensembl:lncRNA
CGCAACCCCGGCGAAGUGGGCAGCAGCCUGGCGGAAGCCCGCGGUCCUCGCGCAUGGCGCCCUCCUGCUCCCGAGGCCCAGGCCCCGGCCCUGGGCCCCGCUGCCUUCCCUCUCCAGGCCCGGGGGGAGCAGGCUUCCCGCCGAGCGCAGACCUGUGGAGGUGAGGAAGUCCAGUCCCGGGAGCUGUCAUGGGGGAGCCCUGACGGGACCCCCAAGUUCCAGCGCAGCGAGGCUGCUCAGAGGGGUCAUCAUGUCUCAUCACUGGUUGUCCAAAUAGUGCAACCUGGAGAUCUAAUUAAGUGUAAAAGACAGUUCAGGACCAAAGUGAGAUCCAAAUAAGCAUCUACAUGCCUGGCACAGUAGGACUGGGAGAAGAGGGAAGGAAAACAGGCAG